GAGCACACAAACUUCAUCCCAUCACUGCCUUACAAAUGGAGUAUUCAAUCUGGACUAGUGAAAUCGAAGAUGAAAUACUCCCACUUUGCUGAGAACUUGGAAUUGGGAUAGUGGCAUAUAGUCCUCUGGGUAGAGGCUUUUGCAGAGGCAGGGUGGUUGCGGAAACCAUGCCCAAUGGCAGCCAAUUGGCAAACUAUCGAAGGUUCAAUGGAGAGAAUCUAGAGAAGAACAAACUAUUAUAUCCCCGAGUUUCG